UGGGGAAUAUUGGACAAUGGGGGCAACCCUGAUCCAGCAAUGCCGCGUGUGUGAAGAAGGUCUUCGGAUUGUAAAGCACUUUCGACGGGGACGAUGAUGACGGUACCCGUAGAAGAAGCCCCGGCUAACUUCGUGCCAGCAGCCGCGGUAAUACGAAGGGGGCUAGCGUUGCUCGGAAUGACUGGGCGUAAAGGGCGUGUAGGCGGUUUACACAGUCAGAUGUGAAAUCCCCGGGCUUAACCUGGGAGCUGCAUUUGAUACGUGUAGACUAGAGUGUGAGAGAGGGUUGUGGAAUUCCCAGUGUAGAGGUGAAAUUCGUAGAUAUCGGGAAGAACACCGGUGGCGAAGGCGGCAACCUGGCUCAUGACUGACGCUGAGGCGCGAAAAGCGUGGGGAGCAAACAGGUUAGAUACCCUGGUAGU
rnacentral:rRNA from 1 species